AAUAGUGGUUAACAUCAUUGUUAAAAUUACGUCAUUUACAGCCCAUUUAAGAAUAGUGAAUGAAGACAACAUAGAAACAACAAACUUGACUGCAUUUCUUGCGUGGAAAAGAUGUCUUUUUCUAAAGUUGCUGUCACAAGAAGCCUAUUAUACAUAAUAACCGGUUUCUCUACUAUCAUCGGAAUAAAUGAAGCGUUUUAUUUGCAAUCAACCGAUAUUUUAAGUAUUCAACCCACAGAUAGUACCGUUCCAGAAGGAAACUCUAUUUCCUUUAUUUGCAAUUCAUGGAAAAAAAGGAAUCUAACGUGGCUUCUUCCAAACAACCGAAUAGUCAAAAAGCAUCAUGGCGGACGUAUUAAGCAAAUUUCAAAUCGGCUCACAAUUAAGAAUGCUAAGGUCACUGAUUCGGGCGUUUAUAUGUGUUUUCAAGAUGAAAGCACUUCAAACAUCAGCCUGAAAGUAUUUGUGAAACCAAGGUAUAGUUAUUACUUGGAAGAAUUGGCCAUGAUAGGUUUUAACUGUUGUUUAACUGCCAUAUUUAUUUUGUGUUGUGCCUUGAAGUUCGCUAGUUUUUACGAGAAGAAACACCAGAAAA